AUUGCAAUCUAUAUUUUUUGUUUCUUAAUGAGUGAAACUAUUUUUUAUUUUUUUUAUUAUUCUCUAGUGUGAUACCGUAGGAAAUGUUCCUUUGCUGAAAACUGAGUAAAAGGACUAAGCUUUUGGAAAAGGAGCAACUCCAUUAAGAUGGACGGUCUCCAGCAGAAGGAGGAAGAGCAUAGAACAUAUCAGAAAAAAACUUUGCCAUAAAGGUAGGAUAGGUAAGUGAAUGAAUAGGAUAUGAAGGGAAGUAGAGAACUGAAGUCAUAA
rnacentral:lncRNA from 1 species